GGUGGGUUCAAGGAGGUUUUAGCACCUAAACCCAGAGUGAAUGCUCUCAUAGUGACAUCAGUCCUGAAAGAUGAAGUAUCUUCUGGUCUGUCUUCUCCUUUCCUCUCUCUGGUCGAUCUCUUCUUGGGGUAUAACCAACACAGGGUUAGUGGUGAUCCAGUCUCCUCAUUAUGUGACGGUAACUGAGGGGGAAACUGUUCCCAUCCAGUGCUGCUGGAAUAAAAAUUUGACGAGGGUCACAGUUAAUUGGAAGAGCAAUGCAAAAAAUACGUCUGAGCUUGUCAAUAAGAGUCAGUGUCAGAAGAGCGCUUCUGAACAGUACGUAUCCUGUUGUUCAAAUCUGACCAUCUCAAACCUGAACAGAAGAGACUCCGGGACAUACACCUGUAAAAUAUCUUCAGAGUCACCAGUUCUUCAACAGUCUGUGGGGAACGGGACACAUCUUACAGUAACUUCAAAAAAUGAUGGAAUCAGCGGUGACCUACAUAACAAUCUGCAUUGGUCUAUCAUUGCUCUUCUGGUUCUCCUGCCUCCCCCAUUACUCCUGGCCCUCCUCUACCUGUACAGAGUGAAAAGAAAACAAGGUCAAACAGUCUUCUGACAUGUUUAUCUUUAUAUGUAUAGUAAACUUUUGUGCUCAUGAAACAGUUGGCACCUCAUCAGAGAAACUUAUCAGAACAAACUUCUUUUGAAUCUUACAGUAUUAAAUGAUGGAAUCGGUGAGUGUUUUCAGACAAUUAACAACUUUAGGGGAAAGCUACACACUUCAUUACUGCUAUAUGAGGUAAGUAUAAGUUGACUAGAAACCACAUUGUGUUUCAAUAGUUGGGCAACAACUCCACUCCUUCUGUACAGGUGACCUACAUAAAAAUCUGCCUCCAUCAAUCAUUGCCCUUCUUGCCCUUCUAAAUGUCAAUAGAAAAUAUUCCAAAAUAAUGUGUUUUUGUUUAGAAUUUGAGACUACAAAGAUAAGACACUGAAUUAGAUACAGUAAUGCUCCUGAAAACCAGAAUGCAGUGCACCUUUUCCAAAAAA